CAGCCGCCGCGGUAAAACGAAGGGUGCAAGCGUUACUCGGAAUUACUGGGCGUAAAGCGUGCGUAGGUGGUGGUUUAAGUCCGUUGUGAAAGCCCUGGGCUCAACCUGGGAAUUGCAGUGGAUACUGGGUCACUAGAGUGUGGUAGAGGAUAGUGGAAUUUCCGGUGUAGCAGUGAAAUGCGUAGAGAUCGGAAGGAACAUCUGUGGCGAAGGCGACUAUCUGGGCCAACACUGACACUGAGGCACGAAAGCGUGGGGAGCAAACAGGAUUAGAUACCCGCGUAGUCCCUGUCUCUUAUAC
rnacentral:rRNA from 1 species